rnacentral:rRNA from 1 species
UACAGAGGGGGCAAGCGUUAUUCGGAAUUAUUGGGCGUAAAGGGCGCGUAGGCGGCCUUCUAAGUCAGACGUGAAAUCCCCCGGCUUAACCUGGGAACUGCGUCUGAUGCUGGGAGGCUUGAGUAUGGGAGAGGGAUGUAGAAUUCCAGGUGUAGCGGUGAAAUGCGUAGAUAUCUGGAGGAAUACCGGUGGCGAAGGCGGCAUCCUGGACCAUAACUGACGCUGAGGCGCGAAAGCUAGGGGAGCAAACGGG